GUCCGUACGAUUACGCGUAGUCGCUCUGUUUUCUGGGCAGCUUGAGAAGGAGUUGACGAACUCGGACUUCUCCCCUGCCACCCUGGGAGACGUCCCGGGGAU
rnacentral:sRNA from 1 species